GACGAACGCUGGCGGCGUGCUUAACACAUGCAAGUCGAACGGUGAAGCGCCUUCCUUUUUGGUGGGUGUGGAUGAGUGGCGAACGGGUGAGUAACACGUGAGUAACCUGCCCCCUUCUUCUGGAUAACCGCAUGAAAGUGUGGCUAAUACGGGAUAUUCUGGGUCUGUCGCAUGAUGGGUCUGGGAAAGAUAUUGUUUCGGUGGGGGAUGGGCUCGCGGCCUAUCAGCUUGUUGGUGGGGUGAUGGCCUACCAAGGCGGUGACGGGUAGACGGCCUGAGAGGGUGGACGGUCACACUGGGAGUGAGACACGGCCCAGACUCCUACGGGAGGCAGCAGUGGGGAGUAUUGCACAAUGGGCGCAAGCGUGAUGCAGCGACGCCGCGUGAGGGAUGGAGGCCUUCGGGUUGUGAACCUCUUUCGCCAGUGAAGCAGGCCUGCCUCGUUUGUGGGUGGGUUGACGGUAGCUGGAUAAGAAGCGCCGGCUAACUACGUG
rnacentral:rRNA from 1 species